GGGUGGUAGCUCAGUGGUAGAGCGCUUGACUUGAAGGUAUGAGGCCCUGGGUUCGAUCCUCAGCACCACCUA
rnacentral:tRNA from 1 species